rnacentral:rRNA from 1 species
UACGAAGGGGGCUAGCGUUGCUCGGAAUCACUGGGCGUAAAGGGUGCGUAGGCGGGUCUUUAAGUCAGGGGUGAAAGCCUGGAGCUCAACUCCAGAACUGCCUUUGAUACUGAGGAUCUUGAGUUCGGGAGAGGUGAGUGGAACUGCGAGUGUAGAGGUGAAAUUCGUAGAUAUUCGCAAGAACACCAGUGGCGAAGGCGGCUCACUGGCACGAUACUGACGCUGAGGCACGAAAGCGUGGGGAGCAAACAGG